rnacentral:rRNA from 1 species
AUUGAACGCUGGCGGAAUGUCUUACACAUGCAAGUCGAGCGGCAGCGCGGGGCAACCUGGCGGCGAGCGGCGAACGGGUGAGUAAUGCAUCGGAACGUACCCAGUCGUGGGGAUAACGUGGCGAAAGUCACGCUAAUACCGCAUACGUCCUGAGGGAGAAAGCAGGGGAUCGCAAGACCUUGCGCGAUUGGAGCGGCCGAUGUCUGAUUAGCUAGUUGGUGGGGUAAAGGCCUACCAAGGCGACGAUCAGUAGCUGGUCUGAGAGGACGAUCAGCCACACUGGGACUGAGACACGGCCCAGACUCCUACGGGAGGCAGCAGUGGGGAAUUUUGGACAAUGGGCGAAAGCCUGAUCCUGCCAUUCCGCGUGAGUGAAGAAGGCCUUCGGGUUGUAAAGCUCUUUCGGCAGGAACGAAACGGCCGUUUCUAAUAAAGACGGCUAAUGACGGUACCUGAAGAAGAAGCACCGGCUAACUACGUGCCAGCAG